rnacentral:rRNA from 1 species
AGCGGCGGACGGGUGAGUAAUGCCUAGGAAUCUGCCUGGUAGUGGGGGAUAACGUUCGGAAACGGACGCUAAUACCGCAUACGUCCUACGGGAGAAAGCAGGGGACCUUCGGGCCUUGCGCUAUCAGAUGAGCCUAGGUCGGAUUAGCUAGUUGGUGGGGUAAUGGCUCACCAAGGCGACGAUCCGUAACUGGUCUGAGAGGAUGAUCAGUCACACUGGAACUGAGACACGGUCCAGACUCCUACGGGAGGCAGCAGUGGGGAAUAUUGGACAAUGGGCGAAAGCCUGAUCCAGCCAUGCCGCGUGUGUGAAGAAGGUCUUCGGAUUGUAAAGCACUUUAAGUUUGGGAGGAAGGGCAGUUGCCUAAUACGUAACUGUUUUGACGUUACCGACAGAAUAAGCACCGGCUAACUCUGUGCCAGCAGCCGCGGUAAUACAGAGGGUGCAAGCGUUAAUCGGAANUACUGGGCGUAAAGCGCGCGUAGG